UGUCGGGGUAACGGCCCAACAAGCCAGUAAUCGGUACGGGUUGUGGGAGCAAGAGCCCGGAGUUGGACUCUGAGACACGAAUCCAGGCCCUACGGGGCGCAGCAGGCGCGAAAACUUUACAAUGCGGGCAACCGUGAUAAGGGAACCUCGAGUGCCUGUAUAUGCAGGCUGUCUGGGUGUCUAAAACACACCUAAAGAAAGGGCCGGGCAAGACCGGUGCCAGCCGCCGCGGUAAUACCGGCGGCUCGAGUGGUGGCCACUUUUAUUGGGCUUAAAGCGUUCGUAGCUGGGUUAUUAAGUCCCUUGGGAAAUCCGACGGCUUAACCGUCGGGCGUCUAAGGGAUACUGGCAAUCUUGGAACCGGGAGAGGUGAGGGGUACUUCGGGGGUAGGAGUGAAAUCCUGUAAUCCUCGAGGGACCACCUGUGGCGAAGGCGCCUCACCAGAACGGCUUCGACAGUGAGGGACGAAAGCUGGGGGAGCAAACCGGAUUAGAU
rnacentral:rRNA from 1 species